GAAAUGCGAUAAGUAAUGUGAAUUGCAGAAUUCCGUGAAUCAUCGAAUCUUUGAACGCACAUUGCGCCCUCUGGUAUUCCGGGGGGCAUGCCUGUCCGAGCGUCAUUGCGAACCCCUCAAGCACGGCUUGUGUGAUGGGCCCUCCCGCGUCUUGGUCGUCAAGACGGGCCUGAAAUGCAGUGGCGGCUUCGCGGUUAUCCGAUCAGCCAGAGCGUAUGGGGACUUUCUCUCUGUCACACGCCCGCGGCGCGGACCGACGCCUGUCGACCUUCAUUCAUCAUUUUCUCGGUUGACCUCGGAUCAGGUAGGGAUACCCGCUGAACUUAAGC
rnacentral:misc_RNA from 1 species